GAUGAACGCUGGCGGCGUGCUUAACACAUGCAAGUCGAACGAAGCACUUUUGACAGAUUCUUCGGAUGAUGGAUUUAGUGACUGAGUGGCGGACGGGUGAGUAACGCGUGGGUAACCUGCCUCAUACAGGGGGAUAACAGUUAGAAAUGACUGCUAAUACCGCAUAAGCGCACAGGACCGCAUGGUCUGGUGUGAAAAACUCCGGUGGUAUGAGAUGGACCCGCGUCUGAUUAGCUAGUUGGUGGGGUAACGGCCUACCAAGGCAACGAUCAGUAGCCGGCCUGAGAGGGUGAACGGCCACAUUGGGACUGAGAUACGGCCCAGACUCCUACGGGAGGCAGCAGUGGGGAAUAUUGGGCAAUGGGCGAAAGCCUGACCCAGCAACGCCGCGUGAAGGAAGAAGGCCUUCGGGUUGUAAACUUCUUUUACCAGGGACGAACACAAUGACGGUACCUGGAGAAAAAGCAACGGCUAACUACGUG
rnacentral:rRNA from 1 species